GACAAUGAUAAUAAAUUAGCUGGCAGGACAGGGUCCGUUUGUGUUUACAGUAGACUAUGUUUGCAUUAUUUCUUCUGAAAUUCUCUUUCUACAUAUACUCACUAUCUGCUCCACCAAGUUGAUGGACUGCCUCUACGAAACGUUCAUGGAGCUCGGGUGUCCAUUUCAAUCUAGGUUUGGCAUCAGUUGAGAGAACCAGUCCUGACUCUCCAGGAACACUUCCGCCUUGCAAAAACAAAUGCUUCUUUGGAGGAAAGGUUGUUCUAGAAGCAAGGAGGUUGCUGUGACCUUCAAGAUGAUGAUGAUACAUCUUCUGCUUAUAAAAUGACAUCAGGUUCUAUUAUCCAUUUGGACCUGCAUAUCUCUGACAACCUGAUUUGCUUGGAGUUUGUCAGCUGACUAUUUCUGGAAAGCUGAUGCAUGCAUACCUUACAUCCUUAAUGCUUCUGUUGUUCAGAAAAGGAACUUCAACUUCUAUAUCUCCUCAUGAUGGUGAGAUCUGCCUCCAAGGCUCUCCUUAUAAGGAAGUUUUGGGGAGAAUCUGGAAAAAUCUGGAAUCAUUUGAACAAAACACAGCCCCGUCCAAUCUUCACAGCAACUCGAAAAGGGAUCUUGUCCUUCUGGCUUUUACUAUCUGUGGACCCUGUUCUUCAACUUGGUUGUCAAUUCUCAGGCCAACACUUCCACUUUUAUUCUGCACUAGCAACUCUUUGCAGAACAGCUUUCACUUGUAAUGUGUGUAAAGGAAUAAAUCGAUAAAAAUCAAUUCUUUCCAUUACGUUGGUCCCUGUAAGGAAAAGAAGGAACCUUAUGCUCCUGAGGAGAAUUUUCUGACAUAGAGGUCUGUCAUGUAAUGUCUUCACACCUUGCAAA